rnacentral:rRNA from 1 species
UGGGGAAUAUUGGACAAUGGGCGCAAGCCUGAUCCAGCCAUGCCGCGUGGAUGAUGAAGGCCUUAGGGUUGUAAAGUCCUUUCGUUGGGGAAGAUAAUGACGGUACUCAAAGAAGAAGCCCCGGCUAACUUCGUGCCAGCAGCCGCGGUAAUACGAAGGGGGCUAGCAUUGCUCGGAAUUACUGGGCGUAAAGCGCACGUAGGCGGACUUUUAAGUCGAGGGUGAAAUCCUGGAGCUCAACUCCAGAACUGCCUUCGAAACUGAAAGCCUUGAGUUCGGGAGAGUUGGGUGAAACUGCCAGUGUAGAGGUGAAAUUCGUAGAUAUUCGCAAGAACACCAGUUGCGAAGGCGGCUCACUGGCCCGAUACUGACGCUGAGGUGCGAAAGCGUGGGGAGCAAACA